GCGUCUCCUCGUCGUCCCCUCGCAGUGCCCGGCUUCCCUCAGCCCAUCCUCCCCCUCUGCCUGCUGCUGCCCGGGCAGUGGAUCCCCUGCGGCAGCCCCUCGCGCCCUGUCAGAGCACCGCUCCAGCUGGUGACCCCAGGCCCGGGCUAAGCAGCCUGCAGGAGGCCGUGGCCGUGCUGAGGGGCUUCUUUCCACAGAUCCAACGUGCCCAGCCCGCUGCCAGCACUGCCGUGCACGAGGGCUGCUCUCAGGCACCGGAGCCAUGGCGCCAGGCGGCGGCGGAGGCUCCCGGCUUCAGAAACACCUGCACUCUGUCUAGACAGACUUCCCUGGCCAAAACAGAUACGGCAACAACCAGUUCAAAGCAUCCACUGCCUCUCCAACGCCGUGCUUCCCUUAGACAGCUUCCUGGCCCUCCCAGUGCAUGCAUACCGCUCGCUUCCUACACCACUGAGCUCAACAGGUCAUCUUCCAACGCGUGCAGCCAUGCACUCUCCAAUACAAGAAGGCACUUGGUGUUCAUUUGGGACAACUUCCCAAGCUGGUAUGAGUUCGAGAGCUCUGAAAUCCUCUUGUGAAAUGAAAGAAGACCCAACGUUUUUACAAUGGCUUUCACUGACAUGCGCGGCAUCCUGAAAUGCUCGGGUGGAAUUUGCUCAUGAGCUUUGUAAAAUUACCCUCUAAGAGAGAGCGAAUAGGGAAGGAUUGAAGCUAGGAAAGCCCAUUUACAUUACUGAAGUGCUAAAACAGGACAGAGCUGUUAUCUUGAAUUCAUACAACAAAAACAGCUGAGGACAGCAUGAAAUAGAG
rnacentral:lncRNA from 1 species